GACGAACGCUGGCGGCGUGCCUAAUACAUGCAAGUCGAGCGAGCGGAACUAACAGAUUUACUUCGGUAAUGAAGUUAGGAAAGCGAGCGGCGGAUGGGUGAGUAACACGUGGGGAACCUGCCCCAUAGUCUGGGAUACCACUUGGAAACAGGUGCUAAUACCGGAUAAGAAAGCAGAUCGCAUGAUCAGCUUUUAAAAGGCGGCGUAAGCUGUCGCUAUGGGAUGGCCCCGCGGUGCAUUAGCUAGUUGGUAAGGUAAAGGCUUACCAAGGCGAUGAUGCAUAGCCGAGUCGAGAGACUGAUCGGCCACAUUGGGACUGAGACACGGCCCAAACUCCUACGGGAGGCAGCAGUAGGGAAUCUUCCACAAUGGACGCAAGUCUGAUGGAGCAACGCCGCGUGAGUGAAGAAGGUUUUCGGAUCGUAAAGCUCUGUUGUUGGUGAAGAAGGAUAGAGGUAGUAACUGGCCGUUAUUUGACGGUAAUCAACCAGAAAGUCACGGCUAACUACGUG
rnacentral:rRNA from 1 species